UGAAAUAUCCUCAAAGCCUGAAGCCACUCGGCUCGAGCUAGAAAUAAUGGAUCGCGUUUAGUGGUUGAAUAGUUAUCUUCGAGCUCAUCGGCACGAUCCCAACAAAUAUUAGUAGUAGAGAAGUUUAGCCACCUUAAUGUUCUUCGCCUUUUGGACAUACUCCGUAUUUAUCGACCGCCAAUAACUUCAAAAUUGCCCGGAAACAACGAUCCAUCCGAGCAAUUAGAUUCCACCGUAAUAGUUGAUGCCGACGGUCUCGCUGAUCAAGUUCAAAAAUUGUCCACGGAAAGAUUAAAGCCCGUAGAGUUACCUGAAAAUGGCUUGUCCUUUGUGCGUCGGCCAACAACUCAAUCGGGUCACGUCAGUCGUCAUAGGCGUCCUGAUUUCCCUGGUCGUCAUUACCGAAUUUCGAGAAGACGCUUAUCAGCUAUGUGGAAUGAUUUUCACUGAGAGGCUUACGUACCUCAGCCAAACUACUCUUAUCAGCUGUUAAAGGAUGCAAGUCGAGGCGACCCUUAUUUAGCGUAUCUAACCCACUGUAUACCGUUGAUCGGAUUGAAGGCAUGGCCGUUAAGGAAAUAGAAAGUGAAGAUCGGGAAGCAAGAAGACGUUAUGAAACGUUUUCAUAGUGGCGAUUGUAAUACUCUCGUAGCCACGAGCGUUCUAGAGGAUGGUAUUGACGUUCCAGCGUGCCACCUGGUUAUUCGGCACGAUUUGCCACAACCUUACCGUGCGUAUGUUCAUUCAAAGGCUCGAGCGCGCGCUAAAAAAUCAAAUGAUUUUCUGGUGGUCGAGAAGGAACGCAUGGAUAAAUUUCUGGUGAAUCUCUCUGACUUGCAUGCCACUGAACAAAUUCUGCUAAGUAAGGGUGGCUAUCACAACUCUUUGGCCUAGGUCGUCAUUCACAGUGAAGAUAUGCUCAAUAAUAUUGAGAAACGGUACACUUCUGGUGACGCUUCAAAAUCUUAUGCGUCUUUACAAAACGCCAUCUCCAUCAUUAACAGAUAUUGCGCAAAGUUGCCCAGUGAUUGUUUCACUCGCCUUAUUCCUGUUUGGAAAAUACGAACAGUUAAGCGAGAAUACGUUGACCCAUCUGUAUGGGACACAUGGUGCGAACUAUUUCAGAAAAGCGAUGCAGCAGAGAAAAGCGCUUGGAUGUAGCGUAUGUUUGCUCAUUACAACUACCA